rnacentral:tRNA from 1 species
AGGAGCGUAGUUUAAUGGUAAAAUAACAGUCCCCAAAACUGCAAGAUAUGGGUUCAAAUCCUAUCGCUCCUG